UACAGAGGGGUCAAGCGUUGUUCGGAAUUACUGGGCGUAAAGGGCGCGUAGGCGGCCUUCUAAGUCGAACGUGAAAUCCCUGGGCUUAACCCAGGAACUGCGUCCGAUACUGGAAGGCUUGAAUCCGGGAGAGGGAUGCGGAAUUCCAGGUGUAGCGGUGAAAUGCGUAGAUAUCUGGAGGAACACCGGUGGCGAAGGCGGCAUCCUGGACCGGCAUUGACGCUGAGGCGCGAAAGCGUGGGUAGCAAACAGG
rnacentral:rRNA from 1 species